rnacentral:rRNA from 1 species
AUAUUCCUGUACUUGGUAUAAGUGCGAUGUGGGGACGGAGAAGGUUACCUCAGCCAACGGUUGGAAGUGUUGGUUUAAGCGUGUAGGUGUGUGGCUUAGGCAAAUCCGGGCUGCUUUAACACUGAGGCGUGAUGACGAGUCUACUUGUAGACGAAGUGAGCGAUACCCUGCUUCCAAGAAAAGCCACUAAGCUUCAGCUUAUAUUGAACCGUACCGCAAACCGACACAGGUGGGUAGGAUGAGAAUUCUAAGGUGCUUGAGAGAACUCGGGAGAAGGAACUCGGCAAAUUGACACCGUAACUUCGGGAGAAGGUGUGCCUCUAGUAGGUGAAGGUGUACAACCGGAGCCCAAUGAGGCCGCAGAGAAAUGAGGGCUGCGACUGUUUAUCAAAAACACAGCACUGUGCUAACACGAAAGGGAUGUAUACGGUGUGACGCCUCCCCGGUGCUGGAAGAUUAAAUGAUGGGGUGCGAGCUCUUGAUUGAAGUCCCAGUAAACGGCGGCCGUAACUAUAACGGUCCUAAGGUAGCGAAAUUCCUUGUCGGGUAAGUUCCGACCCGCACGAAUGGCGUAACGAUGGCCCUACUGUCUCCUCCCGAGACUCAGCGAAGUUGAAGUGUUUGUGAAGAUGCAAUCUCCCCGCUGCUAGACGGAAAGACCCCGUGAACCUUUACUGUAGCUUUGCAUUGGACUUUGAAGUGGUUUGUGUAGGAUAGGUGGGAGGCUUUGAAGCGUGGACGCUAGUUCGCGUGGAGCCGUCCUUGAAAUACCACCCUGACCCCUUUGAGGUUCUAACCUUGGUCCGUUAUCCGGAUCGGGGACCGUGCAUGGUAGGCAGUUUGACUGGGGCGGUCUCCUCCCAAAUUGUAACGGAGGAGCUCGAAGGUCGCCUAGGUACGGUCGGACAUCGUACUGAUAGUGUAAUGGCAAAAGGCGGCUUAACUGCGAGACCGACAAGUCGAGCAGGUGCGAAAGCAGGACAUAGUGAUCCGGUGGUUCUGAAUGGAAGGGCCAUCGCUCAACGGAUAAAAGGUACUCCGGGGAUAACAGGCUGAUUCCGCCCAAGAGUUCACAUCGACGGCGGAGUUUGGCACCUCGAUGUCGGCUCAUCACAUCCUGGGGCUGUGGCCGGUCCCAAGGGUAUGGCUGUUCGCCAUUUAAAGUGGUACGUGAGCUGGGUUCAAAACGUCGUGAGACAGUUUGGUCCCUAUCUGCAGUGGGCGUUGGAAGUUUGAGGGGGGCUGCUCCUAGUACGAGAGGACCGGAGUGGACUGACCUCUGGUGUACCGGUUGUCACGCCAGUGGCAUUGCCGGGUAGCUAAGUCGGGAAAAGAUAAGCGCUGAAAGCAUCUAAGCGCGAAACUUGCCUCAAGAUGAGACUUCCCUAGGUCUUUAAGACCUCUAAAGGAUCGUUCGAGACCAGGACGUUGAUAGGUCGGGUGUGGAAGCGCAGUAAUGCGUUAAGCUAACCGAUACUAAUUGCCCGUGAGGCUUGAUCC